rnacentral:lncRNA from 1 species
AAAUUUUUUAACCAAGAGCAUCAAAAAAAUAAAUAACUAAUAUCUACUAAAUACGCUACAAGGAAAACAGAGGAGGUACUCAUUUUUGUGUUUUGGGUUUGAUAUCCUUGCUCAAAUUUCUUGGCUAUCGUUUGUGUUUGAGUUUUGUGUGGUGAAGGUCACUAUUCCAGCUCGUCCCGUCCGUGUUCGCUGCCCAAGGAAAGGUGACGAUUUCGCCCUUAUUCCGUUUACAACUCUUCCUUCUUUUCAAUCUUUGUAUAUAUAAGAUGAUCUUGCAUAAUUAGUUGUUUUCGUUAAGAUUUCUUUGUUGUUAGAGAAUGUUCGUAUUUCCUUGAAAUAUAAACUGAAUACCAGCAUCACUUCUUCAAAAUGCUUAGUCGUAAUGGUUUUUCGUGUUGCUUCGAAUUUGAUUUAAUGACUCGCUUGCCAUGGCUAAUAUAUCGAAUGCUCCUCAUACCCCAUUCCCGAUUUGUUUGGUGAGUAUGGGCUGUUCUGUUGCUUGCUUUGUGAGGUUACCUUUCGUCUUCCAUGGAUGUGAUCAUUUCGGAAUGUUCCCCUGAUGUUUGGAGGCCGGCAUGUCGGUAUUAUAUCGGUAUAGCUUUCAUAUGCCUAAUUUCUCCCCUUAUGGUUACAUUGUGUUUGCUUGCUUGCCUAAAUAAUGGUUUGGCUUUAUUCAUGUUUGUCUCCUAAAUCAAAUCGGUUUUGUCUCCGUUAUUAAAUGAGUCAUA